UUAGGCUAUAUCAACCCGUACCGUAAACCGACACAGGUAGUCGAGAUGAGUAUUCUAAGGCGCUCGGGUGAGCCACGGAGAAGGAACUAGGCAAAUUAAUGCUGUAACUUCGGGAUAAAGCAUACCAUAGUAAUAUGGUCUCAGUAAAUUGGUUCAACCAACUGUUUAGCAAAAACACAGGGCCCUGCAAAAUCGAAAGAUGACGUAUAGAGCCUGAUACCUGCCCGGUGCUGGAAGGUUAAGGAAGCUUGUCAGGAGUUAAAUCUGAAGCUUGCGACUGAAGCCCCAGUAAACGGCGGCCGUAACGAUAACGGUCCUAAGGUAGCGAAAUUCCUUGUCGGGUAAGUUCCGACCUGCACGAAUGGUCUAAUGAGUUGAACACUGUCUCCUCCGUGAGCCCGGUGAAAUUGUAGUAUCGGUGAAGAUGCCGGUUACCCGCCACGGGACGAAAAGACCCCGUGAACCUUCACUACAACUUUACAUUGAUUUUGAGUAACAGAUGUGUAGCAUAGUUGGCAGACUUUGAAGCAGUGGCGCCAGCCAUUGUGGAGUCACCGUUGAAAUACCAACCUUCUGUUGCUUAGAGUCUAAUCCCUGACGGGAGACAUUGUAUGGUGGGUAGUUUGACUGGGGUGGUCGCCUCCUAAAGCGUAACGGAGGCUCGCAAAGGUACCCUCAGUACGGUUGGUAAUCGUACGUAGAGCGCAUUAGUAAAAGGGUGCUUGACUGUGAGGCUACCAGCCGAGCAGGUGCGAAAGCAGGCUAAAGUGAUCCGGUGGUUCUGUAUGGAAGGGCCAUCGCUCAAAGGAUAAAAGGUACUCCCGGGAUAACAGGCUGAUCUCCCCCAAGAGCUCAUAUCGACGGGGAGGUUUGGCACCUCGAUGUCGGUUCGUCACAUCCUGGGGCUGGAGAAGGUCCCAAGGGUUGGGCUGUUCGCCCAUUAAAGUGGCACGUGAACUGGGUUCAGAACGUCGCAAGACAGUUCGGUCUCUAUCUGUGGUGGGCGUUAGUAAAUUGAGAGGACAUGCUCUUAGUACGAGAGGACCGGAGCGUAUGUGCCGCUGGUGUAUCGGUUGUGCCGCCAGGUGCAGUGCCGAGUAGCUAUGCACAGACAGGAUAAGCGCUGAAAGCAUCUAAGCGCGAAACCUUCCUCAAGAUGAGUUUACUUUUAAGGGUCGUUGUAGACCACAACGUUGAUAGGCUACAGGUGUAAAGGUGGUAACACCAAAGCCGAGUAGUACUAAUUGCCCGUAAGCUUUGAC
rnacentral:rRNA from 1 species